UACAACUGCAAUAUCCACAUUUGCAAUGAAGAGAAGGGAUCAGGUGCGCGCCCUUUAAAUGGUACAAAAUGAUUCUGAACUCACCAGCUUGACAUCGAUACAGGCACCCCUAGUCAAUGUAGAGAUCAGAGGAGUGCCAGCACUUAAAUUUUUGGGAGACAUCAUAUGGAAAUGAGCUCUGAAGAGCAAUAUCAGAAAUGCAGAGAGCCUCCUCCAUCUUUGUGGUAGGCUUGCAUACACUUGGAGGAGCAGCUAAGUUACCAAAGAAAAUAAGAAUAGUCAUUCAUUGGCAAACAAGAUAGUUCCAGUACAGCUUUUAACAAAAUUUACGUAAGAAGAAACCAUUUCGUUGAGUGGCAAUUACAGGAUACAGAAGAUGAAACCCCUAAUAAUCAAGAAGCCAUAUAGGAAAGGUAACGGUUGCAUGUUAAGUUUUUCCAUAUUAACAUGGUUCUUGUUGCAUAUACAUGAAGUUUGUAUUUGUUCUUUUCAAGUCAGUUAGAUUUCUCA